rnacentral:lncRNA from 1 species
CUUCAGGCUCCUUCUCCCCCUCUGCCCCUUCCUCCCCGCCCUGGAGGAUUUCUUUCUUUUCCUCAGCCCCUUGACCAGGCUGCUCUCCUUCCAUCAUUUCUUGGGCUUUUAUAGGGCUCGUCUUCCUGUUGGCUUCUUCUCCUUCAUUGGCUACGUCGGCUGUGUUAUCCGUGGCGUUCUCAAACUUGGUUUCUGAGAAUUGUGUCUCACUCUUUUCGGUAGGGUUACUUUUCUCAGCAGAUAAUGAUUUCUUCUUUUCGUAACCUUCUGACCCUUCUUCUUUUGGAAGUUCCUCAGUCAGUUCUUGGUCUUUGCUCUUUGCGACCCCUUCAAUCACCAGCCAUAAGGCUUUGCCGUGGUCCAGGAGCUCAUCACCUUCAGGAGUCUUCACACCUAAAGUCUGCUCAUCUUCUGUGGCCAGAAGCUGAUCAAAUUCUGCUCCUGAGGUCAGCUCGCCUUCUGUUCCUGAGGUCACCUGGCCUUCUAGCGUGGAGGCCAGCUCCUCUUCUGCCCCUGGAGUCACCUGGCCUUCUGGCCCAGAGGUCAGCUCGUCUUCUGCCACUGAGGCCUGCGGGCCUUCUGCCUCUGAGGUCAGCUCACCUUCUGCCGCUGAGGCCUGCUGGCCUUCUGCCUCUGAGGUCAGCUCACCUUCUGCCGCUGAGGCCUGCUGGCCUUCUGCCUCUGAGGCCAGCUCCUCUUCUGCUCCUGGGGUCACCUGGUCUUCUGGCCCAGAGGUCAGCUCGCCUUCUGCCCCUGAGGCCUGCUGGCCUUCUGCCUCUGAGGUCAACUCCCCUUCUGCCCCUGAAGUUUGCUGGCCUUCUGCCUCUGAGGUCAACUGGCCUUCUGGCCCUGAGAUCUGCUGGCCUUCUUGCCCUGAGGUCGGCUGGCCUUCUACUUCUGAGGUCAGAUCCUCUUCUGCCUCUGAGGUCGGCUGAUCUUCUGAGGUUUGCGGGGCUUCUGGCCCAGAGGUCUCCUCCCCUUCUACUCCUGAGAUCUCCUCACCUUGGGCCUCUAAGAUCUCCUCACCUUGGGCCUCUAAAAUCUGCUUGCCUUCUGUCUCUGAGGUCUCUGCUUCUACCCCUGAAGUGUGCUUGCUUUCUGACUCCGAGGUCUCCUCCUGUACCACUGGGGUCUGCUGGCCUGACUUUGAAGACCGCCUGCUUUCUGCCCUUGAGGGCCGCUUGCUUUCUGCCCCUGAGGGCCGCUUGCUUUCUGUUCCUGAGGGCCUCCUGCUUUCCCCAAGCGAGGGCUUCCUGCUUUCCCCAAGUGAGGGCCGCCUGCUUUCCAAGAGUGAGGGCCGCCUGCUUUCCGUACCGGAGGGCCGCCUGCUUUUGUGGGAGGGCUUCCUGCUU